UUUAGUCGAGUCUCUAUAAUAAAUUUCAGUUGGAAUUCAAGUUGAAAUUGUAUCUCACUCCGUUUUUCUAUCUGCAAAAAAGAGUUACCAUCAAUAAAAAUUUAAAACGUGCAAGAAAACUACGAAUCCAAAGCUAAUCACAUUCACCUCACCCUUACUAAUCCAAAAUCACAUGCUGUAUAGAAAAUAAACUACGAAUGCAAUCAAAGAAUGCCGCUUCCAAACACAGAUUUUAUAUCUUGACAAAAUUAAUUUUAUAACAAAAAAAUUGUUCCGAGUACGAAACUAUCUCAUCUAAGAAAACUAAUCUCUGUCUCACAAUUGUGUCCGCCAAUUGUCACAACAUGCCUCCCAUAUUUUUCGGGCAAUUUUUUAACUAUUCUAACAUUGAACUUAAUUAAUGUGACAAAAAAAUAUUUUUUGUCGUAAAAAAUUUAGGCGACGGUUUAAGUUUUCGUCACAAUUUCUCAUCAAUAAUGGGAAAAUAAUUAUUUUUGUCACAAAGAUUGUCACAAAAGAAGUUUUUUUUGUAGUGAGAAGUCAGAAUGCCGCCGUUUCUCUAGUUUAUAUGGCAUCGAAAAAACCUUCAUUUAAGAACAUGAGCUUAAUUACUGCACAAAUAUUUUUCACUUCGAGCAAGACUACGGCAUAAAGAAAUUUGACACUAGCACUUUAUGCAAUAAAAAGAUUCUGCAUCUAACCCAUGAAAUAACUUCCGUGUAAGACUUCUCUUUACAAAAAGAACAAGAAUUGUAAAUAAAGGCUUGUUUUACUGGGACAUAGAAACAAAAGCAGAAUCUUGUUUUAAACUAAGGCAAUAAUAUAAAUGAAUGGCGAAAUGCCGAAAUCAAGUCUUUUAGCAAAUCUCUAUAUCGGAAAACCCACACUUUUCCAUAUCCCAUGAACGACAAAUCGGUAGAACGAUCUCCACUUUUGUUCAACAUACAUACCAUGGUGUGUGUGUGUGGUGUGUGGUGUGUGUUUGUGUGUGUGUGUGUGUGUGUGUGUGUGUGUGUGUGUGUGUGUGUGUGUGUGUGUGUGUGUGUGUGUGUGUGUGUGUGUGUGUGUGUGUGUGUGUGUCUAUAUAUACACAUUGUACUCACUUCCCUUAAUUAGAGCUAUCAUCUAUUAAGUCGCUACUCUCGCUAAGUAGCCAUAAAUCUGGCGCAACGGACAACGAGAAGAUUCCAAACUUCGCAUUUAUUACAACUUCCGUAUCUAUCCACGUGCUUCAAACGCACAUUUCAUCCCAUCGCUCAUUAGAUCAAAUUCAAAUAGAAUUUAAUCAUAAAAGCUAUCACUUUCCCCAAACAAAACAGACUUCAUCCAAACCCUUGUCACAACACACAACCUAUGUUAAACCUAAAAAAAUGCCAUUGACAAACAUAAAUAAAAAAAAAAAUGAAAAAAAUAAACAAGAGAACUCCCACCAUUGACAUACGAAUUGAAGACUGAAAUGUAGAAGAAAAGAAAAAAAAAUCUUAGUGUGUAAAAUUAAUCAGAUAAGAUAGUACCGAAAAUCAAUUACGCCCAAAAUAAAAUUAAAACGAAAGAAAGCUAAUUCAAUUACAUUCAACAAUUACUUAAUUUUCGAAAGAAAAAAAAAACUUUCAAAAAAAGCCGAAGAAAGGGAAAUUAAACCUGAACUGGUUACUGAAGAGAUUCCGACCAUCUACAGUUUCAAAUGCAGUGUAAGGAAUUUUCGUACGGAGUAACUCUAUCGGUACCAUGAAAGCAUAAAGACGAAUUGGAUUAAUCGUAUUUGAAGUGAUGGAGAGCUUACCGGAAUGGGAUGUAAAUAUUUAUCGAGGAAUCUCCGGCGAAUCGUUGGAAUCAGUUGGGCAGUGGCGAUCGGAAAUGGACUGGCUGGAUUCGAAUUAGAAUUUUAGGGAUUUGACGAAAGGGGGGAAAGGAAGAACAGAAGAGGGGAUAUAAAUCUGGUAAUGGAGUUUGGAGCUUGAAAGAAUUAUAUUACAGGACUUUAUUGUAAUUACAUAAAUAGAUUUAAGAAUACAUCAAAAAAGUUAUUUUUUUAUUUUUUUGAAUGGAAAAAACAAAAUUAAUUAGUAAGUUCCUACUUCCUACUGCUAAAACUAUCUAUGAAUACAUGACGUCCGGUACGCUGAAAAGCCACUUGACCUACUAUUACAAAUUACAAAUGGGUAUUUUCCAUGUUUUUCAGGCCUUAAUCGCUCUGCAAACGUCCAAGACCCUUGUCCGCAAUCUUGUGUCGGACUGCCAAGACUCACUCUUGACAUCCCUAAGUCUUACUCCUCGUUCCUAGCUCGUGUCGGUUGUACGUCAAGCCACGCCAUUGCUCAACCGUCGAUAAUCAUUCCUUGCGUUCUUAGACAGGCACCCAAAUAGAUGUCUACUACUCGACCGCUCAUUGAACUAUGUGUUUUUGUCUUUUACCAUCUUUCACUUGGCACCAUUUAUCGGUCAUGACUCAGCCACACUCGAAUCAUAUAUAACAAAUUUCACGGGCUAAUGGGCUAACAAUAUCCCUAAAAAUAUAGAUUUUCUUUUUGAAUUUUGGAUGAUAAAUUUAAGCAUUAGGCGGGACUACAAAAAAAUAUCUAUGUAAAAUAAUAAAUAAAAGUGAGUGAAANNNNNNNNNNNNNNNNNNNNNNNNNNNNNNNNNNNNNNNNNNNNNNNNNNNNNNNNNNNNNNNNNNNNNNNNNNNNNNNNNNNNNNNNNNNNNNNNNNNNAUCAAUAAAAUUUUAAGACGUGCAAGAAAAAACCUUUAUUUAAGAAGAACAUGAUCUUAAUUACUGCACGAAUAUUUUUCACUUCAAGCAAGACUACGGCAUAAAGAAAUUUGACACUAGCACUUUAAUCAAUAAAAAGAUUCUGCAUCUAAACCAUGCAAACACUUCCCUGUAAGACUUCUCUUUACAAAAAUAACAAGAAUUGUAAAUACAGGAUCAAUGAUAACUUCUUUUCAUUGUCCAUGAUGUGUUCAUCGCGAUGCCGAAAUAAAUCUUAUUUUAAAAUAAGGUAAUAAUACGAAUGAAUGCCGAAAUCCAUAGACACAAAGAUCCAAAAUCGAGUCUUUUAGCAUAUCUCUAUGUUGGAAAAGCCACAAUCGCCACUUACAUUGAACAUACAUGCCACUGUGUGUGUGUGUGUCUAUAUAUACACAUUGUACUCACUUCCCUUAACUAGAGCUAUCAUCUAUUAAGUCGCUACUCUCGCUAAACGACCAAAAAUCUGGCGCAACGGCCAACGAGAAGAUUCCAAACUUCGCAUUUAUUACAACUUAACUUCCGUAUCUAUCCAUGUGCUUCAAUACGCACAUUUCAUCCUAUCUCUCAUUAGAUCAAAUGCAAAUAGAAUUUGAUCAUAAAAGCUUUUUUUUUCUCAAAGGCCAGAAAUCACUUUCCCCAAUCAAAACAGACUUCAUCCAAACCCUUAUCACAACACACAUAUAAUUAGACCUAAAAAUAAAUAAAUGAAAAAAAUAAACAAGAGAACUCCCACCAUUGACAUACGAAUUGAAGACUGAAAUGUAGAAGGAAAAGAAAAAUCUUAAAUGUGUAAAAUUAAUCAGAUAAGAAAGUACCGAAAAUCAAUUAAGCCCAAAUUAAACAUGAUAAACCAAAAUUAAAACGAAAGAAAACUAAUUCAAUUAAAUUCAAACAAUUACUGAAUUUUCGAAAGAAAAAAAAACAGUUCAAAAACGCCGAAGAAAGGGAAAUUAAACCUGAACUGGUGACUGAAGAGAUUCCGACAAUCUACAAUUUCAAAUGCAGUGAACGGAAACAGAAAAGAAGCUAAAAAUGAGAAGAAUUAAGAAUAGGGUUUUAUAGCAGAGAAUUGCACUGGUCACGAAUUCUAACUUCUGACUGCUUGGUCGGGAGAAAUGGAGAAGAGGC
rnacentral:lncRNA from 1 species